GGGAUUAAGCUGAUUACCGGAGAGGAGCAGCUGGAGCAGCGGAGGAGCCCCCGGGGACUGAGUCGAUAAGCUCCUCGAGGACAAGCGGCUUUGCCUACGUGAUAGCAGCACCAUGACUCGCCUUCAGCGUGGACGUGCUGUUCAGCCUGCUGCCCCAGCUGCCUCCCCCCAAAAGGAGCUUGCUCUGACCCCCGCCUCGGCUUUGCUUCGUUCAGUGUCCUGCCAUUCCUCAUACCACGGCGCUGCUGCAGAGACCGAGGUUUGAAGGCAGUUUCAGCUGAGCUGUAGUUUUCCUUCCAUCCUGUAGCUGCAACUCUUACACUGAAUGCUGUUUCCAUCUGUUUCCCUCUGCUGCUUGACUUUAUAUACCCGUGUUCCUUGGGCACAUGCAAGGUGU